rnacentral:rRNA from 1 species
GAUGAACGCUGGCGGCGUGCCUAAUACAUGCAAGUCGAGCGAACGGACGAGAAGCUUGCUUCUCUGAUGUUAGCGGCGGACGGGUGAGUAACACGUGGAUAACCUACCUAUAAGACUGGGAUAACUUCGGGAAACCGGAGCUAAUACCGGAUAAUAUUUUGAACCGCAUGGUUCAAAAGUGAAAGACGGUCUUGCUGUCACUUAUAGAUGGAUCCGCGCUGCAUUAGCUAGUUGGUAAGGUAACGGCUUACCAAGGCAACGAUGCAUAGCCGACCUGAGAGGGUGAUCGGUCACACUGGAACUGAGACACGGUCCAGACUCCUACGGGAGGCAGCAGUAGGGAAUCUUCCGCAAUGGGCGAAAGCCUGACGGAGCAACGCCGCGUGAGUGAUGAAGGUCUUCGGAUCGUAAAACUCUGUUAUUAGGGAAGAACAUAUGUGUAAGUAACUGUGCACAUCUUGACGGUACCUAAUCAGAAAGCCACGGCUAACUACG